rnacentral:rRNA from 1 species
UCUGGCUCAGGACGAACGCUGGCGGCGUGCUUAACACAUGCAAGUCGAACGAUGAAACCGCUUCGGUGGUGGAUUAGUGGCGAACGGGUGAGUAACACGUGGGCAAUCUGCCCUUCACUCUGGGACAAGCCCUGGAAACGGGGUCUAAUACCGGAUAACACUCUGUCCCGCAUGGGACGGGGUUGAAAGCUCCGGCGGUGAAGGAUGAGCCCGCGGCCUAUCAGCUUGUUGGUGGGGUAAUGGCCUACCAAGGCGACGACGGGUAGCCGGCCUGAGAGGGCGACCGGCCACACUGGGACUGAGACACGGCCCAGACUCCUACGGGAGGCAGCAGUGGGGAAUAUUGCACAAUGGGCGAAAGCCUGAUGCAGCGACGCCGCGUGAGGGAUGACGGCCUUCGGGUUGUAAACCUCUUUCAGCAGGGAAGAAGCGAAAAGUGACGGUACCCUGC